AAAAAAAAAAAACAAACAACAAAACAAAACAAGGCAGGAAGUCCCACACUAAUAUAAAAGGUGCUCUACAUUCCACUCACUUGAGGUCUGUGCAAUUUCCUUCUCCUCCCUCACCCUGCCUCAUGCCCUUUAUGCACCCUGCCACAGGAGCAACCUCCAACUCUCCCAUGUUGCUGGGCUUCCCCACCUUCUCACCCCGGGGAAGGCAGCAGGGUCUCAGGGUGCAGCAAGGCCAAGUAUUGCCAGAUGGGCCCAUACACACUGGCAGCAUUGCCACCACCAGCUGCAUGCAGGAAGAGAUGCUGAGCUGUCAGGUCUUUUUCACAGCUCAAGCUGAUGCACCAUGUUUUCUCCAAGAAAAGGCAGCUGUUUAGGCACAUCUGGUGAACAGACUUUCACCUGUAGUUAUGAGUAAAAACACAUGUAGUGUCCCCAUCCUACAAAAAAGCUCUAACCAAAGACAAAAAUAACAAAUGAGCAGAAGAAAAAUGAAGUAAAGAUACAUUAAUUUUUUUUAAUGCAACACAUGGCAGUUACUGCACUAAACUUGCAUCUGUUACGAGUGGUCACUUUCCUCAUGGUAGUAAAUAUGCUUCUGUCAGCCUAUAGGUUACCUUUAAUUCAUGUAAGCAUCAAUUUUUUCAUAUUCCAGGUGACAUACAUGCCUUGUAAGAAACAAAAUAUGAGAAAACACUGCAGAAAAUACUUUUAGGUAAAAUUCAGCAUUCAGAAAUUUGAGCACAGCUCCAAUCUAGUCUCACAAGCAGAAAAGAAACUGUGCAGCAUAUUACCUUGAUUUAGCAUCUGUGCAGUAGAGAGCAUGAAAACCAAACCUCUCACAUGGGUUGUGACCUGCAAGUUUCAUUUUAUUUGCUGAAGACAGAGUGUUGGCCUAGCAUGACUUGAACAAGAAAAACAACACCAAUUAUGCUACAACCAGAGUCCGAGUUCCUCACAAAUUAGUCAGGGUCUUUAACCAUAUCUCAAGGAUGAUUUAAAUGCUUCCUUUCCCUCAUGCCCUCCUGUUCCCCAGACAGCUUUUCUGUUUUCAGUCCAGAGUUAAUAUUUCCAUUCAGCCUCAGUUAUGAAAUUUUACUGGCCUCUUUAAACAGAAAUUGGAACAAUCAUAACAGCUCUAAAUAACCUGUUUGCUUGCACCCAUGUACCCAGCAGUUUGUCAUUGAUGCAGCGUUCAGCCUCAACAGAGCUGAGGAGAAAUAAACCAAGGUUAACCAUUUGGUUUUACAGAUGAAUAAACAGGGGAAACAUGCACAUAAUACACUGGAGUGGUUUUAGAUCAUGUAACAAAGCAUUAUCACUUCACUAUGUCUCCAUUAUUUUAUUAGUUCUAUAAUAAACUCAACAAUCCCUUUAGCUAUUUUUAUCCAGUAACUUUCAGCUGCUAUGUCCCCACAACUUAAAGAACAAUGUGUGCUAUGAACUUGUGCAGAGAGAGAAUACUCCUAAACCUUCUGACCUCUAAAAUUGCACAUUGUUCUUAUGUCUUGUCUCCUGCUUCAAAAGGCAGUUCUGUUAAUUGUUCACAGUAGAAAAAAUGUGUAAUAUUGCAAACCAAAUUAUUCUUUCACCCAAGAACUACAUACACAAACACAUUUAACUCCAUGGCAAUAUUUCCACUGAAUCUCAUUUCAACCAUCCCAGGGAAGUUGAGUGUCACUGUUAAUUAUUAUCUACCUGAAGAUUAUGUUUCUUCAGUUUCUGUCAAGUACUCCCACCAGCAGCUAUUAUCAUUCUCUGUGGUAUAGCCAUCUGCUUCCUAAGACAAAGUAAAAAAUCCCUUUGAGUCGAUGUGCAAACCUGCAGCAGCACUGUGAGGCUGGUGUAUGAGACAGUGCCAGCCUGGUGCCAGUACAGCUGGUAAAAUACUGGAUUAUUCUUUUUUUUUUUUUUUUUCCCCUUGAUUUCCCCAUUUUUAACAAGUGAUUGGAUGCCAUUGGAUGCAGUGUCUCUCAUUACUUUUAUUCCCUAUUCAGGCAAGAUUCUCUGGAAAUCUCUCCCAAAGCUCCAGAAUCUUAAACCAAUAAAUACUGUUGAUUCUUUUGCUUCUCCUUUCUCUGCCUUUCUCAAGGAAGAUGCUAGACACAUAAUGUGUCUUUGAGAUAUUUAAGGAACCAUUAAUAAUUUAUUGUACUGAAUUCCGUAUUCAGAUUCUUAUGUCAUGAUGUCAGGAAUGGAAGCUCUGAUUUAAAUCAUCCUUUGCUAGUAUUUUAUGCCACCUCUUAAUUCUCAGAUUUUCACUAGCAGAAAAAUGACACCGUGUUGCUUUGGAGACAUCUGUUCCUGUAUCAUGACAUUGCCUCACAAUAAGCAACAGCAGAAUUUCAUGUGUGCUGGAAGGAGGAUGUCCUUCAGCAGAGUUAGGCGUUAAGAAGUGUAACGUACCUUCAGCGACGCCUUUACACAGACUUCUCUCUCUUCUCAUGUUCAGACACAAACCCACCUUUGAUUAGAGCAAUUCUUUAUUUCAAGGCAGGGGGACUGAGCAUAUCAUGACAAGGUGUGAAGAGCUGGAUUGGAGCAUAUAAAACUUUUGGUUUCAGUGAGACCACACAUUUUUAUACUGCUACAGCAGAGGAUGCCACUUUGCUAGGCACUGCUACAAUUGCAAGAGGACAAGGGGAAGAAUAAUCUUUGUCUUCAACAUAAGGAUUUAUUUCACCACUUCUUACACAAAGAAGGUUUUCUGUGAUGCAAACACUGGCAGACAAAUUCACUUACAUCCAGCCAAUUCACAAAUGAGAAGUGAUCCAUUUAACAUUGCAUUUACUAACCAUUUAUUCAUGCAAUAUCCAUGGAAGCAUAUCCUUGAGGUGGAAUGCAAGAAAAGCUGUAUUUCCAUGCAGAAUGUUUACGUUUUAGUAUGAUCUUGAAAGUAAACUUAAGUGAAGAUGUACCUUUUUACUACGUUAAUUUUGGCAAUAUAGCUGAGAGUGUUAUUAAAGGAAUUUGCUAAACAGUUGUUUACAUCUUUUAUUGCAGUGAAAUUUUAAUAGUUUGUGGAUUGCUUUUGCAUUGCCGUGAUUUGGGAUUAUAGAGUUUUGGCUUUCCUCUAAACACCUUCAUGGAUUUCCUUAAAGAGUCAGUUAUUGAGUCCUUUUGAGGACAACCCAUCAUUGCAACAAGUAGCCAAUUUACACUGGUACUCAACAGAUUGUCCUACUUGUGUUACUAAAUAGGUCCAGCCAAAAAAAAAGACUGCAGUUUUUCUAAAUGAGAAAAAUCCAUGUCAUCUCUAUAGUGAAAUAAAAAGCUACACUUUAUUUCACUACAGAAAAAACACAGAGAAAAUUAUAAAGUAGUAUUUUAUUAGGUGAUAAUUUUGAAAAUCCUAGAAAAUAUUUCUUCCACACAUCAAUGGCAAAAGAUUUAGCAGUGAGCAUUUUAAGACUCACGAGAACCAAUUUGGGACUCCCUUUAUAUUUUUAGCCCCUAAAAAUAUACAAGAACUUUGCAAAAAUAAAUCAAGUAAUUAUUUAUAAUUUCUUUGAUUUAAUACAGAGAGAAGAGGAGGACAUACUUCAGGUUGAACUGGUCUCUGUAGAGAGUUUAUUUAAAAAAACAGCAGAAACACACAAGAACUGAACAUGGACUCAGCUUUAAAUAUAUGAGCACUGGCUCCUGUAAUCAGUAGCUGAAGUACUUAAACAGUCUGCUGGAGACACAACUGGCUUCACAGGCCUGAAUUUCAACACAGGCUUUAGAUGCUGUAAUUGGUUGCAGCUAUGAACUACAGCACUUUGAAAAACUAAAUAAGCAUUUUGUAGUGCAAAGCCCACUACGCUUUUUACAAAGAUGACUUAGUUCAAGCAGGGUCUAGAUAAAAUUCAGAUUACUGAAAUUGUAUGUCAACUAUUUAAGUAUAUUACUAUUUUUAAUAACUAUUUAAUCUCAUUAUUAGUAUCAAAAGAAUAAAUAAAAAUGAUUAGACAGUAUUUAACAAAUGUUUAAUUUUAAAGUUGAAAUGCAUUGCAGUGUAUGGGUUACAUAUUUUCUAGGCAGUACACCAUCUCCUACCUUCUUGGUAUAAAUAGAUUUUGAAUGAUUUUCUUAUUCUCUAUUUUACAAGCUGUGUUCUGCCUACUAAAUCUGACUAAGUCCUCCUUUUCUCCCAUGUCAGAAGUGCAAAUAUCUUCCAAUACUUUUAAAUUAUUACUCUUUCUCUGUCAACUUCAUCUGCAUCAAAAUUGCACUUCUAAAUAAAAUGUUCUUCAAUUCUUUUACUGUCUUACUUUUAAAAGAACUCCAGUCCUACAAAAGCUUAUCUCUAAUGUGUAUAAGUAACACUAUUAUAGUUGGCUCAAACAUAUUGGGAGACAAAAAUCAAGUGAAAAAAGAAUUUAAUGACAGAGAAUAGCACUGAAGUACUUUUGAUCAAGAGGUAUUUCAAAUAAAUUUAUAUACACACUCUAAGAAACACUUCAUCCAAUAAUAGUAUAGGCAAGUUUUUACUAGUAUUUCCUUCUUCAGUUGGUUUUAGGGGGUAGGCGUUAAAUAAGAAAGGAAAUUUUGUGUAUGUACUAGCUCAGCUUUCUCCUCUACACACCCUAAACGCUCAAGUGCAGAGAUGUCCUACAACUGAGUAAACAGAAAGAAAAUCCUUGCGAGCUUUUCAGAACUGAGCCAUGUAACUCCUGUUGUUUCAGCAUAGCCAGUUAGAUACACUCCACUGAAGCAGCACAGACUUAAUCUGCAUACUCUGGAAGUUAGUGCUUUAAUUUGCCUAAUGUCAUAAUAUUUGCUUUUUUCCCUGGAAUACUAGAUUUUUAACACAUUUCUUGCCACUUAUACUUUGCAAGGAACACCAAAUGGACAUAUACAGUUGCAACACUUAUAAUAAUUAUAAUAUAUAAUAUAUAAUAUAAAUAUAUAAUAUUUGAAUGAGAAAGGCAAAAACGUUUUAAAAACCACUGCUAUUUAACUUCUACAGCUGGAAUAUAUUUCAGUAGUACAGAUUAUUUAGUGUGUGUUUUUAUAUAAGGCUAUGUAAGGUACAUAAAAUAGAUCUAUGCUGAGUCCUAAUAUGUUAACAUAUUUUAGUGUAUUUCACUUCACCAUAUAUUUGGUACAUACCACAUUAUAUGUGUUUUUCAGGCCCUGAACUUCACUAAAAAGCCAUUAAUUUAAAAAAAAUUUUAAAUCUCUAAUUAUAAAAAUUUUAAAGGGAUAGUAAUUUAAUUUGUACUUUGCUGCAGAUGUCCAAUUUACUUACUACUAAUUUGAAGCAUGCUGAGAACUGUUAAUACUGAAGGACAAAAUACAAGUUUUAGCUGCUUAAAACUAACUUAACUCUCAUUUCAUUUAUAUUGAUGUUGAUUCAUUACAUCAGUGAAACAAUUGCUCAACCAAGAAUCAGAGGGGCAUAGGAUGAGGACAUCUGUGCCAUUUCAGUGCAAUAAAUGUAUCAGGCAGGUGAAUUAAGGUCCUAGGGGAGACAGCAAGUAUUUUACCAGACCUGCUCCAAACUGAUAAAUGCACUUAGAAAAGAGGGAAGAGUCUUAAUUUAGGUGUUCUUUCAAAGAGACAAGCACUUUCCUAUUAAACACUACCUGGAAAGCUGCUGAAAUCCUGAAGAAAUGCUGGUACAGCCUAUUUGCUAGUGACAUAAAAUUAGUAAGUGAUGCCAGGUUGUGGGGGCUGCUGCUCUCAGAAACAUCCCCUUGCUCAAAAGCCCAGAGCAGCCAGGCCAUGUCUGCUCUGAGCUGCAGCACGCAGAAGGUUGGCUGGUGCCAUAUGAAGUGUUUAAGGGUAUUAGUGUGACAAACCUGCACUGAUUUAAUUCACCACAGCAAUCAAAUGCAGUGUUUAUAAUUAAUUUUAUGAGAAAUAAAAAUCCAGUUCUUGAGGACAGUGCAAAGAUGCAAAUAAUAAUGCAUUCAAAGUAUUUUCUGGCAAUAUAUUUUCUCUUUAACCUUCACUCUUCUAUAAAUAUCUCCACUUAAAAAGAGGCUUAGCCUUUCUUCUCAAAUAUCAUUGGCCUGACUUAAAAGUAACUGCAAGAGAAUUCACAAUCUAGAUAAUAGCCAAGCCCUUGAGCAUAAUAAAAUGUAAAAUAUAAAAUUAAUUACUCCAUAAAAUAGAGUUGUAGAUUCUUUAUUUGGCACUUCUGUAGUAUCAACAUACAUGGUGUUAUAGUUGCCAGGCCUCAUUUUAAGAGGCAAAAUAUGUGACAAAUAAAAUGCUUUCAUUUAUAAAACUAUUAAUAAGGAAAUCAAGCUGAGCAGACAGGAGGUAAGUACUUCAAAUAUAAUUCAUGUAGUUUUGGGUUACAAAUCUAAUUAGACACGAUCUUCCAGGGAAGAAUUUAGAAAUAUCAGAAGUCCUGGAGUUACUCAGAGCUUAAAGCAGGAGUCAAAGCGUGGACAAAGCAACUUGAAAAUCAUUCAGCACUUAAAACCUAUAGUAGGUGAAUGUAUAUGGGAGUGACCUACACAUGAGUCUGAGCUGACAGUGAACUAUUCCUCAAUCUCUGGGUAAAUCAUCAGGCAGCAACAUCUGGCAGGAGCUGCAGCUCCCCCAGGCUGGGUGCAGCGCUGUCUGCACCCAGAGUGGCUGGUUUCACCUCAGCUGAGGUACCUGCCCACAGGUCAGGGUAACACAGCUGUCAGUCUCCACCUCAAUACCCACAACAUGUCCCACUGACAGAAACACUGGCUCCAAUUUUUGAAAUUCCGUUAGAAAAACAAACAACAAAAUCACAGAUACAGCAACAACAGAAAACACCGGCACAAAAUAAAACCCAAAUUACUAAAUAAAACACAAACACACAAAUGGAAAAAACACACACAGGUCCUUUCUAGAGUCAAGUCAGUAGGAAUAUACACUCAUUACAUCUAGCUUCUCUUUGAAAAAAAUAGUUAAAACCAAACCAAAACACAUACAAAUUAUUCAUACUUACUUAUUGCAAAACUAAAUGUUUUUCACAAAUGCAAAGUGUCCAGUAGUUAAUAUUCACAAGAAAAUGCCAAAGACAAAUUUUUCCAAGCCACAGGCGUGACAAUAGGCUUGGCUCAACCAGACACCAGUCAUCCAAGAAGAAAUAUAUAUGCCCUCUUAUACUACCAUCAGUCCUAUACAUCAGACAGAGGAGUUUAUAGUCUGAGAAGAUAAAUUAUGUACAAAAGGUAAUCUGACAUCUGCCAUGGAUCACAGCACAAGCAGAAGAAACCUGGGGAACUUUAAACACUUGGAACUUCUCAGGCCUGGGAGGUUUAACUAUCUGGUGCAUGCUGCUGAUUUCUCUUUUAGCAGAGCCUCUCCAGCGACCUCAGAGAGCAUAAUCACAAGAGACUGCAAAUGCAGCAUUUUUCACAGUCUUUAUAGAUAGAUGGAUUUGUAAACUGUGUGAGACAGUGUGAUCAAACAGCUAUAUUGGGAGUAUAAAUCUACUUCCAGUCCUGCUCCUAUUGUAUUUAUGUAAAUCAAGAACCCAGAAAAUAAAUCUGGUGUGGAAAACUUAAUAUUUUGAGGUUUAGUAGCAGAUGUUGGGUGUUUCAAACUUGUUUUCAGGUUUCUUGACAAGCCUUUUUACAAACAAAAGACUCAAUAUCUUAAGGCUAGAUAUUUAUUAGUAAAAUGAGAGCUAAUAUUUAGCAGAUUUUUAAAGGCCUAACAGCUAUACAGUUAAAUUACCCAUGUAUCUUCAAUGCUGCAUUUAUCAAUUUUAAUAUCUCCUGGCCAAGGGACACAAAGAAAAAUUGCACAGAUUUUAUUAAUUCAAAUAAUGUCUAACCCAUUUCCUGUUACUUUCUUCUCUCAGAAGGCAUCUCUGGAACACACCUUUGGAGUUCAAUUAAAAAAAAAAAAUCUCACUUUCUAUUUUAUUAACCGUGAAUGUUCUGCAAGAAAUAUUUCCAUACCUGAAUAUUUCUGGAGAAAUUUUUCUGGAGAAAAGAAUACUUUUCACAAAUCUCUACUCAGAUUUUCAUAUGGCAAGAGGGGUGAGAAUAAAAUAUUGUCAGAGCAUUUCCGAAUAAAUAUUCCAUUGACCCCAGCUGGCAUAAUUUCAAAUACAUUUGGCUGCUGUCAUACUUGUCUUGUUACAAUGUCUCCAGCUGUUCAGUCAUUCACUGAAAGAAGUACAUGGAAAGGUGUAAAAUUAGGACUUUUAAAUUUUUGUCAGGAUUCUAGAAAGUAUAGCAAUAUUUCAUUUUUAAAAUUAUUUCUUUACCUGAGACUGAUAAUUCUGCUCUUUAUAUGAUUUGAUAACACAGAGUAUACAUUUAACCCAUCUACAGAGAAUUACUAAAGUGCAUCAGGAUUCCAAGAUGUAUCUCAGGGAUAUUAGAGUUAAGCCUAAACUGGCACAGGACCUGUAUCAGCCAGAUUUUUACAGCACCUAAGGCAACAAUUUCAACUUUGCACCAUCUUUAUACCUUUGGAUGCAAGGAAAAGCAAUUCCCACUGAAACACUUCAAGAUGAGCCAAAAGACUUCAUCAAGUAAAACCUGCUUUAAGUAAAAGGCUUUAAAAGAAAAAAAAAUAAAUAAAGACUACUCUAAGGAGUAAUUUAACUCAAAUUAUAGAAGGUUUUAAAAUACAGGCUGACAUCCAAGUGUGGGCACCAAGUGUGUAUUAAGACUGCUACAGAUUUUUGUUACCUGGGAGCCCCCUGCUGGGACUCUGUUGAGAGAAAACAAGAAAAGAGAAAUGUUUUGUUUUGAAGGUGUGUCACAGAUGUUUCAGUAAUAUUUAAUUGUGCUAUAUAUAGUAUGUUCAUGCAACCUUAUUUAAUGUCUCAUAAGCAAAUCACUAAAAAGGAGAACUCUGCAUAGCAGACAUAUACUUAGUAUUAGUUAAAUACUCAACCUACUUUAAACUAUCCCUUAUUCUCAGAAUUCAUGAUGAUGAUUCAAAUGGACAUUAUCAUUAAAGAACAUAUAAACAGAAUUAGGUUUAUUCCAUUUGAUUAAUACAUACACACACAAAAAAAAAAAAAAAAAAAAAAAAAAAAACCAAAAAACCCCCAAAACUCAGAAUUUCAGGACUGCAAGAGUAAAAUACCAAAAAAUAAUCGUUGUCUAACCAAAACAACAAAUUUCAGGCUAAGUACAUGUUAGAACAAUUGCUGUAACCCACAGAUCAUCAGUAUUUUCUUUCCUGAAAAACUCAUCUGAAAUAUUUCAACCCAUACUGUAGUCCCUACCUCCUCCAUUCUGCAGGUACAGCCAUUCAGAGCUCUGUGUAAUUAAACUGCCUGGGUUAUCAACAGCAGCCUCUUCCACAAGUAUUUUGUACCCACAUAAUUUCACUCUUGUGGUUGUGAAUGACACAGACAUAAGGCUUAGUUUCCAGAUCAGUCUUUGAGGAUCUUUUGUGGCUCUCCCUAUAAGCUGGAAAUGUUUUCCCAAUGUCAAUGGAAGUUUCUAUCUUUUUUGAGCAUUGAGGUGAUGGCUGUUUGAUAUAUAUGUAUGAGCUUUCACUACUAGUGAUCUUUUAUUCCAUUUUUAAUUCCUUUUUUCUGUUUUUUCCUAAUGGCAAAAUGUCAGGCUUAUGUUUAAGAUGCCAGUGAAAAUAUCAAAGUAUUUUCUUAAGAAAAAAUCAAAGGCCUGCAUGCUCACAAGAUUAUAAGUAAAUCUGCCUGAAUACUGCACAGUGCUGUUCAGGACUUUUUGCUUUCACGGGGAAUAACUCAAUCUUCUGCUAUACUGAGUCACCUGUAGGAAAUUUUAUCAGUAUAAGCAAAUUAUUUGCUAAAUUGAAGAGCUUUUAGCAUACUCAAAGAGAAAGUCCUGGCCAUAGCAAGAGGAGUUUAAUGAUCAAAGGAAAGAACUUAUCACAGUUCUUCUCAGUAUGCCAGGUAUGCACUUUGUGUAAGGGUAACAAUAAGUAAAAUGUAUAUGUAAAUAUUUUCCCUUCCAAAGCAUCUUUAAAUUACAUGCAGGAAGAAUAUAUGAAAGUAAUUGAAGAUGCAAUAUAUGAACUUUAAAAUGUAACAUUUCCAAACCCAUUUUUAAACCCUUCUCCUAUAAAGGUUUCAAACUCUAUCCUUCAAUACAAAAAUAAGGUGUUCAUUGAAGGAAAAGAAAUAGUUCUGCUAAACCUUAGCAGUAAUAUGUUAUUUAGCUACUAGACUUGAGAAUAAUAGCAAAAAUUAUACAGGAUGAACAAUGUAGGGAUGAGAGUUUCAAAACCCUACAGGUUGACACAAUGCCUUUCAUACGUUUCUACAUUAUUAGUUUAUCUUAAUGAAAGAAUGCCCAUGUAAUUUAUUGUGACUUAAUCAUCCAAACAGUUCAGGGAAGAACUUCUGAACUAUGAAAUUCAACAGAAAAUAAGAUGCAGUAAUCACGUAGCAAUACCAUACUGUAUUUUCCUCUUGUCCUGUGAGAAGGAUUAAAAAAAAAAAAAAAAAAAGUAAAAUUACCUAACUACCUCUUGGGAUUCAAGAAGCCAUGCAACACAGAAAGGUUAUGAUGAAACAACACAAAAUGAGAAUUUAACACCAUAAACAACCUGGUUUUUGUCUAAAAAUUCUCCUUAACUACUCAGACAACAUAAGCCAAAAAGAUGGUCUGUUUUAUAAGCGUCAGUCUUAAUUCAGCGUUUUAACAUUAUGAUAAAGAGCAUCUCUGUCAACUAAGGAGAUUUUUAACUUAUUCUGUCCUUAUAAACAUUGCAUAAAUAAAGGCACAAUAGCAAUGGAAAGAGUCCAUUGUACUGUGCUCUUAAAGCUAAAGACAGAAGAAACAAGCACAACAAGAUACUGACUGUGAGGAAUUACAUGUCAGCUACUUGUAAAAUCAAAUGCAGAUGUGUUGCUAGGAGAGAACAAAAGCCUGCAGAGUCUGAGCCUGCGGAAUAUUAAAGAUCACAGAAUCACUGAAUAUUCUGAGUUGGAAGGGACCCACAAUGAUCAAAGUCCAACUCCUGGCCCUGCACGGGACACCCCCAAAAAUCACACCCUGUGCCUGAGAGCACUGUCAAAAUGCUUCUUGAACUCUGUCAGCCUUGUUGCUCUGAGCUUACUCAAGACAGGAGGAAAAAAGCAUCUCUUCUCCCCCACUCCCCAAAAAAAACCCCAAAACAAAAUAAAAAACCCAAGGAAACCAAAAUCAAACAAAGAUUAAAAAAAAAAACAAAAAAAAAAACCAGAAACCACCAGUUGUUUUCACCAAGCACAUGCUGAAGCCUUCCCAACCAGGCUGCAUAUGGAAGAUAUUGCCUUGUUGGCCUUGUUUCUGCUUCUGCCAAAGAAGCCUGUCUAAGUAUGCUGGUGUCUAACUUUGUUUUAUUUUGAAAUAAGCGACAACAAAACAAACAACCCAAAAGGUGACCAUACCAGAUGACACUAACAUCACUGCUGCCAUCUAGCAGACUUGUAUUCUCUCCUGAGCAGUGUGUUUUGGUCAGUGGAUAUUAUCUGGAUUUUCUAGCAUUUAGUCACUUAUAGGAAGUUUGGAUAGAGACAUUGAAAAACUUACAGAUUUAUCACCUUUUUUUUUUUUUUAAUUCAAACCAGAUUGAAAAACGGUUAUCUGACUUUAUUUCUCUCUUGGACCUUCCUUUAUGCUAAAGACUUCCCAUCUGGCUUGCUCUUUUUCGUUUUAUCUUGCAACAUACUUGCACUGUCAAACUAAAUUACUAUUUGCAGUAAAUUUGAGCUCCAAAUCAAAGGCACUUUUUAUUGAAGUAUCUUGGUUGCCCUGGUAUGGUUAUAGGCCUCUUGGGAUUUAUAUUGUAAAAUUUAGUUUCAUGGGUUUAUAGCUGUGCAGUAAAAUUUCUCAUUGCACUGAAAUUUGGCUUAGAAGCAUCAAAUACACAGCUUUUUUUAAUACUUAAAAGAUUUACACUGUAAAAUUGUAGUGAUUUUUUUAUUAUUAUUCUUGAUAUUUACAAGCAUCUUCAUUCUUCCACCAUCCAUCUUCACUCUACUCUGAACUACUUCUGAUGCACUACAUUGAACAGAAUAAAGGUCUUAAAUUAUCUUUAAAAAGUA